rnacentral:rRNA from 1 species
UACGUAGGGCGCAAGCGUUGUCCGGAAUUAUUGGGCGUAAAGAGCUCGUAGGCGGUCUGUCGCGUCGGCUGUGAAAACCCGAGGCUCAACCUCGGGCCUGCAGUCGAUACGGGCAGACUAGAGUGCUGUAGGGGAGACGGGAAUUCCUGGUGUAGCGGUGAAAUGCGCAGAUAUCAGGAGGAACACCGGUGGCGAAGGCGGGUCUCUGGGCAGUAACUGACGCUGAGGAGCGAAAGCGUGGGGAGCGAACAGG